GAUCUCCAGUUGUCACUGAUGAUUGCCAUUUGGACCUUUGUGGAUUACAAUCUGCCAUCAAAAUUAUGUUUAAUUAUUCCAGCUGCUGUGAGAAAAGGCUACAAAUGAUUUGCCAUCCUCACAUAAUAUAGCCUACUAGCUGCGACUCGUUCUUCAUAUAAACAGACGUGGCAUAAUGACGCAAAGAUGAACAGUAAGGAAGGUGAGAAAAGGAAAAAAAAAUACAUCAAAGAACAGCCGCCUACAUGCACUUUUAACAAGCAGGAUUCCAGAAACAAAAGCAGUAAACAGUGUCCUGACAGUACAGACUUCUUUUCACUAUCAAUGGAGCUGAUAGAAGGAGCAGUCAGACUGACGGACGACGACAGAAGGAAAUACGUCGAGGAACACAUACCAGCACGUAACAUAUCUGCAAUCUCUUUGUACAGUCAUGUUCCAUAAACAACAUUAUCAUCUCACUCUCACACCAUCGGCCUGAUGUCUGCACUUGAUUCAUUGAAUGUCAUUUAUUGAUCUUUAUAUGAUAUGGUACAGUACACAAUGUUAGAUUACAUUACACUUGACUCAUCAUUGGGCAUGAUCAUGAUAUACAUAAUGAGAGGUUGUACAAUACUCAAUCAAUUGCCUAAUUGCAUGAUAGGCCUGAGACAAUUAACGAAACUGCCUUAUGAUACCGAGAUAAAUGCUUUGGAUCAAAAUAAGGAAAUUAGAAAACCUGUUCAACAACUCCAUAUCUCUACAGUUAGAAGGACAUCUUGAAUUGGAAAUACUUUGCACUCCAUCUGUAUUUACCUUGCGCACAGCUCCAUAAUGACAUCUAUGCUAAACACACUAACCAUCAUGGUUAUUUUAGAUUUAUUGUGGUUAUUUUAAUUCCUAUAGGCCUAUUUAUUUGAAAAAAUGUUAACACUUCUUGAGUGUUAAAAAUUACGUUACAUACAUGUUUGUGUUAAAACUGAUAUAAAUAACUUUCAUGCUAUAAAUAUUGAAAUGAUUUAAGUUUAUUUCAAUCCUUCUUUAGAUUAUCAAAGUGUUAAACAUGCAAUAUUUCACAUUUGUGUUGGCAUUUAUACGACAUUUACAUAUCAUCUCAUAGGACAAGAACAGUGUUUUUUUGUUUUUGUUUUUUUGCCAUUUUCUUUGCUAAAGUGAGUGUAUAUGGUAUUUACAGCUUGGAUGCAUCAGUGGUGAUUAACCAAAUCUUUUCUUCUUUUCUUUUCUCUCUAUGGGCCUCAUUUUGAAACUUUCAUAAAUAUAUGAGUAAAUUUAAUUUAUGCAUAAAAUGGACCUUCCUGAAAACUCACUUCUGGAUUCACAAACACUUCGUAAACUUCAUAUUUGAUAGCUAAAGGGUUAGUUUACCCAAAAAAUUAUGUCAUAAAUAUGUUUUUUGGUAGCUUUCUGGGCUCUGGAAAUGGAGCCAUUGGAUUUUAUCAAAAAUAUCUUAAUUUGUGUUCUGAAGAUGAACAAAGGUCUUACAGGUGUGGAACAACAUGAGGGUGAGUAAUUAAUGACAGAAUUUUCAUUUUUGGGUGAACUGACCCUUUAAACGUGUGUGUUCAUGAAUUACGACCAUUUCCAGAAACUUUGGGACAUUUUGUAAAAUGCAAUAAAAUCAAGAAUCGGUGAUUUGUUAAUUCUCUUGAUUUAACUGACAAAAGUACAAAGAAAAGAUUUCCAACUGAUUUCACUGACCAACUUUGGGACCAUUUUUUUAAAU